UACGAACUGUGCAAACGUUAUUCGGAUUCACUGGGCUUAAAGGGUGCGUAGGCGGCCAUUGUAAGUAGGGUGUGAAAUCCCCCGGCUUAACCGGGGAACUGCGCCCUAAACUGUGUGGCUUGAGUGAGAUAGGGGUGUGUGGAACUUCCGGUGGAGCGGUGAAAUGUGUUGAUAUCGGAAGGAACGCCGGUGGCGAAAGCGACACACUGGGUCUCAACUGACGCUGAGGCACGAAAGCCAGGGGAGC
rnacentral:rRNA from 1 species